AGAAACUCCAUAAGGUGCACACCCAGUGCAAGCUAUGGACACAUAAGAGAUGCAGCAGUAUCACUGGAAGACUAACAGAAAAAGUAGGCUUUUUGUGUGG